rnacentral:rRNA from 1 species
CGGGACGGGGUGGAGUAAUGUCUGGGAAACGUGCCUGAUGGAGGGGGGUAACUACUGGAAACGGUAGCUAAUACCGCAUAACGUCGCAAGACCAAAGAGGGGGACCGUUCGGGCCUCUUGCCAUCGGAUGUGCCCAGAUGGGAUUAGCUAGUAGGUGGGGUAACGGCUCACCUAGGCGACGAUCCCUAGCUGGUCUGAGAGGAUGGCCAGCCACACUGGAACUGAGACACGGUCCAG